rnacentral:rRNA from 1 species
GGUCAAGUUAUUAAGGGUGCAGGGCGGAUGCCUUGGCACUAGGAGCCGAUGAAGGACGUGAUAAGCUGCGAUAAGCUUCGGGGAGUUGCACGUAAACUUUGAUCCGAAGAUUUCCGAAUGAGGAAACUCACUUAGAGUAAUGUCUAAGUAUCAUUAAGUGAAUACAUAGCUUAAUGAGGGGAACUCAGGGAACUGAAACAUCUAAGUACCUGAAGGAAGAGAAAGAAAUUCGAUUCCGUAAGUAGCGGCGAGCGAACGCGGAUUAGCCCAAACCAAUAAAGUUUUCUUUAUUGGGGUUGCGGACAUAUCAUAACGAAGAGGUAUCGUAAUUGAAGAGGUUUGGAAAGACCCACCACAGAAGGUAAUAGUCCUGUAUGUUAAACGAGAAGACUUUAGAUAUGAUCCAGAGUACCACGGGACACGUGAAACCCUGUGGGAAGCAGGAGGGACCACCCUCCAAGGCUAAAUACUACCUAGUGACCGAUAGC